UGACAAUGGUUUUCGAGGGGUGUCAUUUUCAACUGUUACCCUCCCAAACAGGCACUAUUUAUAUAGUGGUGAGGGCCUUUCCCGAGACACAGUUAGAUUAUUCAAACUAAGGAAAGUGUUGUGAAAUUAAUAGCAUUAUUGUAGGCUUAUAGCUUUGUUAUGUAAAUGUCAAUAAUAAGGUGUGUCGAUGUACCUAUUUCGUAAAUGUCCGAUAUCCAAUGUCAACACGUGCACGCACGGGUCAAAGUCUAGUUCUCUUAUAACAAGACCAGUUUGUUAAAUACUGAUGGCAAUUUUUAAAAAUAUCCUAAUCAAUUGAGUUACACGAAAUUAGUGGUAAUUUCUUUUUAAACUGAGUAUUUAUCAUUAUCCUUUUAAAGAUGUACUAUUUGUCUCGUUUUUAUAACCACACAUAAUUCUCUUUCAUACAGUGCGGAAUUAGAGACAUCGGUUGAAAACGUGCAAAUUAAUGAGGAAUAACAUUCAAAAGAUGAUGACAAAGAAAAGCUGGAUGAGGAAAAGAUGAUCAGAAAUUGAAGAAACAAGUGUGAAAUUGAAGUGUGUAAAUAAGAAUAAAAAUCAAA